CAGUAGCCGCGGUAAUACAGAGGGUGCGAGCGUUAAUCGGAUUUACUGGGCGUAAAGCGUGCGUAGGCGGCUUCUUAAGUCGGAUGUGAAAUCCCUGAGCUUAACUUAGGAAUUGCAUUCGAUACUGGGAAGCUAGAGUAUGGGAGAGGAUGGUAGAAUUCCAGGUGUAGCGGUGAAAUGCGUAGAGAUCUGGAGGAAUACCGAUGGCGAAGGCAGCCAUCUGGCCUAAUACUGACGCUCAUGCACGAAAGCGUGGGGAGCAAACAGGAUUAGAUACCCCAGUAGUCCCUGUCUCUUAUAC
rnacentral:rRNA from 1 species